rfam:Gorilla gorilla gorilla genomic chromosome, chr17, whole genome shotgun sequence
GGAAGUGAAGGCAAUCUGGCUGCAAUAUGUGUCACCAGGGUGGAUUGGGCUGAUCUGGCUGGCUAGCUAGGUGUCCCCUUCAUCCCUCACUGCUCCAUGUGCAUCUCUCCCAAAGCUGCACACUCAGUCCAAGAGGACAGCCAACCCCAGUAGAAGAGGACUGGUCUUCAGUCAAACUUAAGUGAAUAGUUAUGCUCCCCUGCUAAAACCUCCAAACAAGCUCUUAAGAUGAUGGAGGAAGAUACAACAGGCCAUUAACAAUAAAACACAUUGAAUAGUUAGGCAAAAAAUU